UCCGUAGGUGGAUUAAUAAGUCAGAGGUGAAAUCCUGCAGCUCAACUGUAGAACUGCCUUUGAUACUGUUAAUCUUGAGUCAUUAUGAAGUGGUUAGAAUGUGUAGUGUAGCGGUGAAAUGCAUAGAUAUUACACAGAAUACCGAUUGCGAAGGCAGAUCACUAAUAAUGUACUGACACUAAGGGACGAAAGCGUGGGGAGCGAACAGGAUUAGAUACCCUGGUAGUCC
rnacentral:rRNA from 1 species